GCCGUCUUAGCUCAAUGGUUAGAGCAUCAGACUCUUAAUCUGGGGGCUGUGGGUUCGAGUCCCACAGGUGGUA
rfam:Hepatospora eriocheir strain GB1 NODE_10, whole genome shotgun sequence.